UUGGGAAUCUUGGACAAUGGGGGAAACCCUGAUCCAGCCAUGCCGCGUGAGUGAUGAAGGCCUUAGGGUUGUAAAACUCUGUCAAGAGGGACGAAACCUCGCCGACCUAACACGUCGGCGACUUGACGGUACCUCUGAAGGAAGCACCGGCUAACUCCGUGCCAGCAGCCGCGGUAAUACGGAGGGUGCGAGCGUUGUUCGGAAUUACUGGGCGUAAAGCGCGUGUAGGCGGCCUUCUAAGUCUGGUGUGAAAGCCCGGGGCUCAACCUCGGAAGUGCAUUGGAUACUGGGAGGCUGGAGUACCGGAGAGGAGGGUGGAAUUCCUGGUGUAGCGGUGAAAUGCGUAGAUAUCAGGAGGAACACCGGUGGCGAAGGCGGCCCUCUGGACGGAUACUGACGCUGAGACGCGAAAGCGUGGGGAGCAAACAGGAUUAGAUACCCUGGUAGUCCACGCUGUAAACGAUGGGCACUAGGUGUUCGGGGUAUUGACCCCCUGAGUGCCGCAGCUAACGCAUUAAGUGCCCCGCCUGGGGAAUACGGCCGCAAGGUUA
rnacentral:rRNA from 1 species